GGAUGCGAUCAUACCAGCACUAAAGCACCGUAUCCCAUCAGAACUCCGAAGUUAAGCGUGCUUGGGCGAGACUAGUACUAGGAUGGGUGACCUCCUGGGAAGUCCUCGUGUUGCAUUUC
rnacentral:rRNA from 1 species